GCUAUUAUGCUCACUGUUCGAUCGGCUUUGAUUCCCGACAUGGUAAUUUCUAGGACAACAAUAGCACCCAAGAUGCAGUCGUUGAAGAAGACAGAGCUACACAGUACACACCCACACAUCUACACGUAUGCGCACAAACAGAUAGAAACUGGUUUUGAGGAUUGGUGAUAAGCUUUCUGUAACACCAUAAGGCAACGAUAUGAGACACACACGACAGUGAUGCUUGCUAAGCUAAAUAACGACGCUUCGCCUCGCCCGGAUAACAAGACAUUGAAUUUAAAAACGUUAUAUACAGCUAUAUACUGGACACCCGUGAUUGUAAAAACCUGGAUGGAAUAUCAACAAACAGACAACCGGUCAACGGACAAUGCACUUGGAUUGUAUUAGUUAUUGAGAUAUCUGAUAACAGGAUAUGCAAUAGUACAGAAGAUAGCUUAUACUUUCAUAAUCGCUUUACUAGUCGAUGAAACUAUCUCUUCCAAUUUUCAUUUUUUACAUUGGAGCAGACAUGCCGAACAGAUAUAACCACAUUUAACCACAUAAUAUAUCAUUGGUGAUUUUAUGAAUGAACAAAUACACCAUAGACGGGAUAUAUACAUGUACAGCUCAUACACAAGCCCAUUGAUAACCACUAGUGCUGCAUGGUAACCUGUCUAUGGAUACUAUCCACCUGUAUGAUUGGGACGUUUUGACCGUUGAUAUCAUCAACACGUGUGUCGCUUGUAAUUUAGGAAUGCGAGAUAAAACUUUUCAAAUCCGCCUGGUUGUCUAUUACGCUUGCAAUAAACACUGAUAUUAUCAACAUCAUGGCAUAUAUACAUAAUUUAAUGUAUUACAACCGAUCGAUUUAAAUUUGGUAUAACAAUUUUACUAACGCAAAUUAGUUUUCGCUGCAUUUCAUUAAUUCCGUGGAUGUUGCUGAUGUACAGUGCUGAUGGCACACAUACUACAAUAUAUUCUGCUCAAAUAUGGUCAUGACCAUUUUCAGAUAUGUGAUCAAUGCCAAUAGGAAGUCACUUUCCAUUUGGCCUUUAAAUAUCGGAGAUUUAUUCAAGUAGGAUGCUUAACAUUUUUCCUUUUCGAUAUCAUACGAUAUGUACAGGCCAGCUGUAAUAGAAAAACAUAUUCAUAUUUAAGUUUCCUUAUCAUUGACCCCUAGGACCAGAAAACUGCAAUCGGCAAACAGUGUAUGUCUGAACCCGUAAUGGAUAUUAUACUUUAACAUUGUGAGAGGGAAUCUUUUCAUCGGCAAUCGUACACUGUUAGUCUUGACAACGCCAGUAAAGCUUUGUAUAUCUAUGAACUCAGCAUAUGGAUAUUACCAUACGUACACUGUGACGGAAAAGUUGUUCUGUCGACAUACAGAGAUGUCAGGCAGUCAGUAAAGUCGUUCGUAGUAGUAGCCGUGCACACAGUAGCGAGGUAUCAGCGCAUUGUUUCUCCUCUCGCUAUAUGAUGGUGGUUCAGUCUCCCAAAUGCCUUCGCUUACGUCAUAAGUUGCCAGAGUUAUACCCAUCGCUAUGGUGAAGUCUGCUGUCUCGGAGCAGACGCUUGUACGACUCGCUGUACAGAUAUUCGUCUUCGUGUUAUUAUCUUUGAUAGAUUCAAGCUAAUGUGUUCAGUUUGGUUCUUGCAGUAAGGCGAAGGGAAUCAUUGGAGAAGGAUUCGCCUGGAUGAGAAUUGUUCUUCCUAACGUAAUUCAACGAAUGUGAAACAUCAUUAGAAAUCAAUGAUCUGAUAAGAAUUUUUGAUUUUAGUACCUAUAACGAAUUCGUGUUAAAAUAUCUGUGCGACAUCAAUUUAGGAGUAGAUAACACCUAUAUUGCAGCAACCGUCAGUGUGGUGACGAUUUAUCAUUUUGUUGUGUACGUGUGUUGGACGCUAUAACUUAUUAUUCCGUCAACAGGAGAUUAAAGUCGGAACCUGCAAGUUGACAACGGGCAUUCAUGCGUAUCUGUCUUAAAUGUGAGGUGCUCUACUUCGGUUUACUUUAGGACCAAGACGUAAAAAGCCACUUGGAGACAUUAUUCUUGGACCACCCACGUAGUUUACCAAUUAAUUAGGUUCGACAGUACGACCGUAAAUACACUGGAAAUCCAAGAGGAACAUGGUUGUUGACUAGAAAGGUUAUACCAUCAGCAGUUAUUUGGAUCGAAAGUAAUAUGGCUUCAGCGCAAGUAAAGCCGAAAUCUCCUUAUGUAUAUACGUACUCAACAGAUUCUAUGAAGAUAACAGAUGACAGGAAGAAAAGUGGUUCUGUCAAAAUCGCAGAAGGGAGUAAAAAGGAAGAUGGAUCUAAAUCGAAGAGCGGACAAAAUAAAAAAGCAUGUAAUGUGCCGGAUACGAAUCUGCUCUUGGCGUGUUUAGUGACUGUAUGUUUCCAUCCUUUAUUUGGUGCAGUCGCCGCCUAUUUAUCUAUCUCCGCCGCCAGUGCGUAUAGAGACGGACGCCGGAAGGAAGGCGAGAUGCGCGCGUUUAUCUCCGUCAUUGUAAGUCUUGUUGGAAUUGUCUUCACAGUCGUUCUGGUGAUGACACUGGUCCUAUGGCUGACCAUAGGCGAUUAUAAACUACCUGUGGAAAGCUGAUGGCACGAACUCCGGUUUACGGCUACCCAAGGUCGAUAUUUGAAACAAACUAUCAAAGAUGGAUUUUGAUACUGUUCCGAGUUAACGCGGAGGGAGUGUGCGUCGGUCGGACUCGCAAUGGAGCCCAAACACUCUAUUUCGCGUCCAAGCUUUCACACGAAUGAAUGGACCAUGUGCAAACGUUUCGUAGAAGCAUAUCUGUAUGCAUGUUUGAACGGCACGUUACUGUCAAUUAUCAUCCGUCUCCAUAAGGCAGGGUCAACACAGUUGUGGAGACGUCAUCGAUUACAUUUUGCACAAGGACAUCGAACUGAAAGAAGAUCACUUUAUGAUGUUAUAUAGCAUUCUCCGUGAAUGUGUUAUAGCAUGCCAAAACAACGAAUGUGAACCAAUGGAAACAACUGAUAGUAAAAUCUCACCCACUCAAGGAGUUAAGUCGUUUAUUAUAUACUAUGUAUGUAUUGAUUUAACUCCAACUAAUUUAUCAUAAUACAUAAAUAACUAAUUAUCUAAAGGAUGAUAAAUAUGAUAUAACUAAGGAACGCACAUCCACUUGUUUCAAACUUAAAUUAAGAAACAGUAAAAUCAUUGUAAAUAUUUCAUCAGUAUGAAAGACGUGUAACCAUUAUUCGUACCAUGUGGCGACUAAAGAACAACGCUUUACAUAUGUAUUGAGCAACUGCUCAAGCACACUCUUAGAUACGUUGAUGAAGAAUUUGGGCAUUAAAGGGACAUUGUUAUCAUGUAAGUUUGCAAACAUCGCACGCUAUCGUUCCUUUCAUCAAGUGGAAUAAUGUUAGAUGUCUAGAGUGUGGCAUCAUGGUGUCUUAAGGUGCAGGCAGACCCAAAUCUGAAGUAGGAGUUUAAAGAUCCCUGUUCCACUGCUGGUAAUUCAAUAGAUAAUUAAACUGCGGUUUUGUUCAUAUAUUCAGUAGCCUCCUCUUAAUUUCGUUUUGAUAUAACUGUAGCGGUUUUGAACAAAUGCAUUGCCGUUGACUAGGUAGCUCACUUGAUUAGAGCGAUAGUAACAAGCAACAAUUUGAGGUCCAGAGUUCGAAUCCUGGUAUAGCCCCACAGACGUUUUGCUCUCAAAAUAACAUUGCUAUGUAUUGAUGAUUUCAUCUUUAUGAUGUUUUCCAAAAAGUUCCUCAGGGUGUUUUAUUUUCAUAAAUGUUUUAUCAAACUACAGUUAUGCCGCAAAAAAAAAAUCAAAAAUCAGAUCCAUUUUGGAUAGUUUUUUUGCAGUGGUACAAGGAUUCUUAAUAGUGAUAUAAAUCUCUGUCAUACGUGGCAGUUUACUCCCAGAACGUGGUUAAUAUGAGAAUUCUGAGACUACACUUUAUGUGAUAAAAUUAUAAACUGUUUUACAAACUACUGUAUUAUUUAAGUGUCCUGUGUAUGUCCAUGUGUCUAUGUCCUCAACUUGUGGUUGACAUCAUACAAUGGCGUGCUGCCAUCUCAUCAUAGGAGUAAGUAUCAAGUGUUUAUUAAUUCAAAACUAGAUUAAAAAGCUUACUUGGUUUUGUGAAACGAGAUUAUUUGCACUCAUAUACAGUUCAAAUGUUACAGUUUCUAAUCAGCCCACAUGCACUUGGAUAAUCUGAUUUUAAUAACGGUUCAGUAUAUAUACGUUAGGGCUAUGUACAUACUAAUAGAAGUGAAAAGAAAUAGUUCAUACGACUAGGAAUCAACGUCUGAAACGCGAACAAAUACAAUGACAUAUGCUGAGCUAUGUAAGAAGCUAAUAUAAGAUAUGUGAAACCGGUUUUUAGAAUUCUUAUUCAUAUUACUGGUGUAAUCACAUCGAAUUUGUGUUUAUUACCUUUUUUUUUUUUUUUUUAAAUAUUGCCUUUUAAUGGUUUCUUUUAUAGUCAUCAAACAAAUCCGGGGCUUUUGACAGUUUUAGCAACAUGAGUAAUUUGAUAUUUCUCGAACAUAUAUGUAGUGGUAUUCUCAAAAUUCCCAGCUGUCGAUCAGUUUCAUUUUAUUUUAAUUUGAGAUGUUUGUGAAAUUUAGGUAUAGAUAUUUACCUAAAUCAAAAUGUUUAUCAUGUUUUAUUCCUUUAAGUGAAAAUCAAGUUAGCAGACAGUUGGAAUAUGUCCUUUUACAUAAAAGAAGUAACACUGAGAACAUAUCCCUUUAAAUAUCUAAGAGAUGGUAAAAAAAGAGGAAUCUACAAAUACAUAAAAGUAUAACAUAGACGAGACAGAGAUGUGUGUAUGAUGUAGACGACCUAUUGAAAGCCAGCCAUCUAUAAAAAGAAAACCUCAUGAAGUGGGUUUUUGGAUGUAAAACGGAUUACGCAUCUUAAGUUGCAUGUGUUCGUGAAAGAUUGGCGACUGAGGGACGACAUGCAAGGAUGAUGGAAGCUUUUGCAGUCUUUUCCAGAUACCAUUUGCUGGAAAAAAAUAUCGAUCCUCGAUUUUCUGUAAUAACAGUUGUCCUAGCAAACGGCUAGUUUUCUUUUAAAGCCCCGUAGUUUCUAUCAUCGUCACGAAUACAAACGGUCAUAUAACAGGAGUUAUUACGGUGAUGUAUCAUGAGCCAAACUAAAAUAAUCAUACCACUUUCGAUAAUUCUCGUUUCCGAAUACGUCAACGCUGGCAAUGAAUAUUCGUUUACAAUCGUAAAAUUCGGAUGUGUUUGCUGAUAAAAGAACCGGAGUUGAAAAUAAACAUCAAAUAACGUAGUUUGUUGGGAAUAAUUAAAAUCGAUAUUGCUGCAGGCUAAGGUCAUACACAAGAGGUAAUGUAGCACGGUAUAUUUGAAGGACUUUUAAGAACUUGCAUGCUUGUGUAGAAAGCAGCUAUCUAUUCCCUAUGUACAUGACGAUGCUCUUGUGUGUAAUUCUAUUUAUCGCUAAUUACAACAGUAAUACCUGCCUGAAUAUUAGGAUUUCCUGUUUUAGUUGUUAUAACUAUAUACUUCGUUUCAAUUUAGAUGUCAACGAGAAAAAUGUCGCACAAUGAAAAUCAGCAGAAUUUCUUUCUAGGAAAGGUCAACAUGUCUGUUUGAAAUAAGAAACGUACAGUCAUUUACCGUUAAGCCCUGGAUAGGUUAGAGAAUUGAUUCGAUUAGGAAUCUUUGUAUAAAUAAUAUUUAAAAUUUAAAAAUAUAUUGCCAUUGGAAACAUUUAACAAUUCGUUAAAUAUCCUCCAAACUUAGACAGAGUAAAUCAAAGUGUUUGAUUUUCAGGUCUCAAGCACAAACCAUAUGACAUCCGAUGUUAGAAUGUCACUAUCCCCGUAACGACACAUUCUAUAGGAUUAUUUUUCUCUUAUUAUUUAGAAGGGUGCUAUGAACGAAUUCGGAACGAAUGCAAGCUAUCGUCCGGUCUCAUGUUAAUCUGCACACGAGUUGCUGACGCCACGUCACUGGAGUAGUAAGCACAUGAUGCAAUGAUGAAACAUUACGUGUUAGUAUAUAUUUACGCUCUACCCAUACCGUCAAUGAUAUAUCAAUAUCCUACCAUGCAAGCAUUUACCCAUUAUAACCGGUAUGUAACAUGUGUAAUCCACCAAUGGAAAACAACAGUAUAGUUUCGUACCUUUGUUGUAAUCAUUUAAAAAAUAUGGGGUUAAAUCAAUCUUAAAAAAAUGCAUGAUAAGGUAUUCUGAAUUUCAAAUAUACAAAAAAUCUAAUAACGUGUUUUUACAUUUCAGAAUAUUUAAUUGUAUAGGUCUUACAUACGAAAGAAGCUUAUACAUGCUCUUUCCUUAAAAUAUAAACAGUGCAUACAUAUAAUGAAGUAGAAAUAUACAGCCUUAAAUAAAACUAUAGAAGUAUUGAUAUGAAAUUAUAUUAGGUAUUAUUGAAUCGCCAAUUGUUAUAAUUAAUAUGAAACAGUAUUCUAGUGGUAGGACGCCGGGCUUGUGACCGAAGGGUUGCGGGUUCGAGUCACGGCACGGCACUGUGUUGUAUC